CAAUUACUCUGUACCAGACUCUAUCUAAACAGCUGAGGCACAACCAUGCAGAGUUCAAUCCCAUUCCUUUCUUUAUGUAUAACUAUUUACAGAGAAGUUUUCUAGAGGUUACAUGACAUGAUGUGUUACAACAGACCGAAUGCUCAAGGAGAUGUGAGACUCCAGGCAUCUCCAGGGUCAUUUUGGUAAUAUCUCAUCACAUGCUGUCUGGCCAAAUUUGUUUCCUAAUUGGAUAUUCCAAGGCUCCUAGAAACUUUGAGAAAACAAGGUCACACACUGCGGCAGGAAGAAAGGUUCCCUCUGACCCGGCAACAAGCGGCCCACCGCCUGCAGCCAGAGAAGAGCCGCCACCGCUUCCCCAGUCUCCUCCUGAUACCGACAAGGUCAUCUGUCUCCUCGGACUUGCUAUAGUUUGCCACAGU